rnacentral:rRNA from 1 species
GAUGAACGCUGGCGGCGUGCCUAAUACAUGCAAGUCGAGCGAACAGACCAGGUGCUUGCUCCUCUGACGUUAGCGGCGGACGGGUGAGUAACACGUGGAUAACCUACCUAUAAGACUGGGAUAACUUCGGGAAACCGGAGCUAAUACCGGAUAAUAUAUUGAACCGCAUGGUUCAAUAGUGAAAGACGGUUUUGCUGUCACUUAUAGAUGGAACCGCGCCGCAUUAGCUAGUUGGUAAGGUAACGGCUUACCAAGGCAACGAUGCGUAGCCGACCUGAGAGGGUGAUCGGCCACACUGGAACUGAGACACGGUCCAGACUCCUACGGGAGGCAGCAGUAGGGAAUCUUCCGCAAUGGGCGAAAGCCUGACGGAGCAACGCCGCGUGAGUGAUGAAGGUCUUCGGAUCGUAAAACUCUGUUAUUAGGGAAGAACAAAUGUGUAAGUAACUAUGCACGUCUUGACGGUACCUAAUCAGAAAGCCACGGCUAACUACGUG